rnacentral:rRNA from 1 species
UACAGAGACUGCGAGCGUUAUUCGGAUUCACUGGGCGUAAAGGGUGCGCAGGCGGCCGUGUGUGUGAGGCGUGAAAGCCCGGGGCUUAACCCCGGAAUUGCACCUCAAACUACACGGCUAGAGCAUUGGAGAGGGUAGCAGAAUUCAUGGUGUAGCAGUGAAAUGCGUAGAGAUCGGAAGGAACACCAGUGGCGAAGGCGGCUACCUGGCCUGAUACUGACACUGAGGCACGAAAGCGUGGGGAGCAAACAGG